rnacentral:tRNA from 1 species
GGUCCCAUCGUCCAGAGGUCUAGGACACCGCCCUUUCACGGCGGUAACAGGGGUUCGAACCCCCUUGGGACCGCCA